rnacentral:rRNA from 1 species
UACGUAGGGGGCAAGCGUUGUCCGGAAUCAUUGGGCGUAAAGCGCGUGUAGGCGCCAGAAAAGUCCGCUGUGAAAACUCGAGGCUCAACUUCAAGCUGUCGGUGGAAACUUUCUGGCUAGAGUCCGGAAGAGGAGAAUGGAAUUCCUGGUGUAGCGGUGAAAUGCGCAGAUAUCAGGAAGAACACCAGUGGCGAAGGCAGGUCU